UGCGCAGGCGGUGCUGUAAGACAGGCGUGAAAUCCCCGGGCUCAACCUGGGAAUGGCGCUUGUGACUGCAGUGCUGGAGUGCGGCAGAGGGGGAUGGAAUUCCGCGUGUAGCAGUGAAAUGCGUAGAUAUGCGGAGGAACACCGAUGGCGAAGGCAAUCCCCUGGGCCUGCACUGACGCUCAUGCACGAAAGCGUGGGGAGCAAACA
rnacentral:rRNA from 1 species